GAUGAACGCUGGCGGCGUGCCUAAUACAUGCAAGUCGAGCGAACAGACGAGGAUCUUGCUCCUUCGACGUUAGCGGCGGACGGGUGAGUAACACGUAGGUAACCUACCUAUAAGACUGGGAUAACUUCGGGAAACCGGAGCUAAUACCGGAUAAUAUUUCGAACCGCAUGGUUCGAUAGUUAAAGAUGUCUUUUCUAUCACUUAUAGAUGGACCUGCGCCGUAUUAGCUAGUUGGUAAGGUAACGGCUUACCAAGGCAACGAUACGUAGCCGACCUGAGAGGGUGAUCGGCCACACUGGAACUGAGACACGGUCCAGACUCCUACGGGAGGCAGCAGUAGGGAAUCUUCCGCAAAGGGCGAAAGCCUGACGGAGCAACGCCGCGUGAGUGAUGAAGGUCUUCGGAUCGUAAAACUCUGUUAUUAGGGAAGAACAAACGUGUAAGUAACUGUGCACGUCUUGACGGUACCUAAUCAGAAAGCCACGGCUAACUACGUG
rnacentral:rRNA from 1 species